CCAUUCCUGAAGAGUGCGUUGAAGCAACAAAGGAAUACAUCCAUGGCGAACAAUAUAGAUCAGACUCCAAAACAGUUAACCAACAAGCUUACUUUUAUGCCAGAGACCUCGAAGUCCAUCCCAAGGACACAUUUGUGUUCAGUAUAGAUGGCACCGUACUCUCUAAUAUUCCAUACUACAAAAAACAUGGAUAUGGGUAUUAUGCUCUUAGUUAAUUUUCUUCUAAUACUCUCUUUUUCCGUUUUUGCUAUUACUAGGUUACUCCCUUAUAUGCGCAUCAUUUAUUUUCAACUAUUUUUGGUAUUGAUCGAGUUUCGGUGUUUGGCCCGACUAACAACAUUAAGGUUUCUCAUCACAUGCAUGUAGAUUUGAAACCUUCAUUAUAUAUGACAUUUUAUGAUUAGAUAUAAUAUAAAGAAAAAGUUUCAUUGUGAGUGCAUAAAUAUAUAUAUAUACAGACACAGGCACAUACAUGCUUUCAGGAUCGUGUUCAUUGUUCUUAAUGCAAUAUUUUAUGUGAUAGGGUGGAGAAAUUUAACUCGACCUUGUAUGAUGAAUGGGUUAACAAGGGCAAUGCACCGGCACUGCCCGAGACUCUUAAGAAUUACAACAAGCUGGUGUCUCUUGGCUUCAAGAUUAUAUUCUUGUCAGGAAGAACACUGGACAAACAGGCCGUAACAGAAGCAAACUUAAAGAAGGCUGGCUACCACACAUGGGAAAAAUUAAUUCUCAAGUCAGUUUUCUUUUUUCUCUAUACUAUAUUCUCAAGUCAAUUAAUUCUCAACGUUGCACCAAAUCUGCCAGGAAGGAACAGUUUAUAGAUAAUCAGAAAUUAUAUAAUUAUUUUAAGUACAUGGUGCGAUAUGAGUUUGAAAUACUAGUAGCUAAUUGGAUCUAUUUUUGGUUGGUGCAGGGAUCCACAAGAUCCUUCCACUCCAAAUGCAGUUUCAUACAAAACAGCAGCGAGAGAGAAACUGAUAAGGCAGGGAUACAACAUUGUUGGGAUCAUUGGAGACCAAUGGAGCGAUCUCCUCGGAGGCCACAGAGGCGAAAGCAGGACCUUUAAGCUUCCUAAUCCCCUGUACUACAUUCAGUAGUUCCUUCACCUCUCAACAAUCUAGCUUGCUCCUAUCUAUCUAUAUGUAAUAAGAUGCGUUCAAAUAGGGGCACUAGCUUCACUUUAUGUUGUUUCAGCUGUGUGUCAACAAGUCAUGUAAGAGACUUCACUAUGUUGUUUUCUCUUUCGUGGCUUUAAUAAAUUAUGCGCCCUUGUUCCAUACUUUGAUCUUUUCUUUUCUUUUCUUUUUCUUUUUAAGUCAAAGUAAUUCAUUAUUAUCAAACUAAUGAAAAAUACUAACCAAUAUCCUAAGAGAAUUGGUUAAAGAAUUUAAAAUAAUAAUAUUUUUAUUAAGAGACACAAAAUUAUGUUAUUUAUAAAUUUUUUUUAUUUUCAUAUAACUUACACAAUUAAUAUUUUUGUCUUUUAGUUUUAUAACAAAUGUCUUAAAAACACUAAUUAAAAAGAUUCUUUAAAAAAUAGUCUUAAGAAAAUCUGAGGAACUUAGCUAGGUUUUACAAACUAAUAUAAAAUGUGAAUUAAAUAUAUUUUUUCCAUUUAAUAAUUUAGUAUUUUUUUUCAUCCAUUACAUUAUUUUGAAUAAUAAAAAAUAUUAUAAAGUGUUUUAAGGAUGAAAAAUAAAAGAAUAUAUUUUAAAUAAAAUAAAAAAGAAAUUUGCAGGAAAAAAAUAUCUAAAAGAUAAAGAUUUUAUAAAAUCGAGAUCGGGAAAGAAGUGCACAAAAUCGACGUCGUGAAAGAAGUGCACAAAAUCGACGUCGUCUAUUACACCAUAUAAUUACACUGUGAACCGACAGUUGGUAUUAACACAAUGGCCCAAUAGAGUAGACCGAGAAAUAAUUAUCUGACAAAUAUACUGUUCACUAAAAACAAAAAAAUGAUGAGAAAGCCUGAAAAUUACACUAUAUAUAUAUAUAUAUAUAUAUAUAUAUAUAUAUAUAUAUAUAUAUAUAUAUAUAUAUGAAAUAUAAUAACUUUAUACUAUCAUUUAAUUAAAAAUAAUUAUUUAAAUUAUUUUAAAAUAAUUAUUUUAAAAAUCAAUAAAUUUAUCAUACAUAAUAAAUAUUUAAUAUAAAUAUUGAUUAAAUGAUUAUAUAAAAAAUUUAUACUAUCUUUGUAUAAUCCUUUUUUCAUAUAAAAAUAUUAGUGAAUGGUGUUUUGAGUUUCAAAAUUUUAUAAAAUUUCGUUUUAAUUUCUAAUUUAUAAAUAUUACUCUUUUAAUAUACCCUUUAAUUUCUAAUUUUAAAAAUAUUACUCCUAAUACAGAGAAAUUUUAGUUUUAAAAUUCCAAAAUCGAGUAGUUUUGAUUUCUAUAUUUUUUGAAAUAUACAUAUUUGGUCCCUGUAUAAGAUAGAAAAACAUUAGUUUUAUAUAUUACGUUUGGAUAUUUUUUAUAAAAAAAAUCAACCAUGAAAAAUAUUCAUUUUAAAAGUCAGAACUCAGAAUCAAAAUUCAAAGUUUAGAAACUUUUUAAGUAAAAACAUUGUUAACCCAUUAAAAUGUUGUCAUCACAUACAUGUAACUAAUGCUAAAUUUAAUUACGUUUAUCUUUUAUUAUAUAUAAACAUCUUAAAAAUCUAUUAAAAAAUACUAGGUACAAUCACACUCAUUUAACUAUAUAUUUUUUAUUGAUGAUGCUAUUUUUUUGGUAUUUUGGGGUUGCUGAAGAACUUGACGGUUUUUGUCUACAACCCUCCUCUAACCUAAAAAAAUAAAUUGGUUGGCGAGAGUAUUGCAGCAAACAUUUGCUGGAGUAUGUUUGACGCUUAAGAAGCUUUUGAAUUAAAAUAUAAAUCUCACAAAAAUAUAUAAAUUUAUCCUUUAAUAUUAUAUCUCUUCUCUUUAUCCAAGACACCAAAAGUCUCUUGCAACUUUAGCACUGUUAGCGACUUUCUGACAAUUAGUCACGCGCACUCCCUCAUUGUGUCUGUACUCUGGAGUCAAACUCAUCCAUUUUGGAAGCGAAAUAAUGCUUUUGGGUGAAAAAAUUAUCUCUCAUGCUUUAGUCCGUGUACUGUUUGGACUUUGGAGUGUAUGAUUUUAUAUUAACUUUAUAUUACUUUUUCUGCUUUUGGGUGUGGAAAAAAUUAUCUCUAAUGCUUUGUUUGUUUCAAUGCACGGAAUGAUUUAGAGAGAUGGAAAAUAACUUCAUAUUUUGUCCCUGUACCGUUUGGACUUUGGAGUAUAUUGAGAAAGAAAGGAAUAAAAGUAUCAGUUUGUGGUUCCAUAUUAACUUUAUAUAUCGUCUAAUUUAGAACGAAAAGGAGUAUUUUCUAUACAAAGAUAAAAAUAUUAUUAUUUACAAUAUAUCUCAUGUUUUACUAUUAUUAUUAAAAUAUAGACAUUAUCUUUUUCUGCUUUCAUUUUUUUGUCAUAAAAUAACAUAAAAAAAUCAUUUUGUUUUGAUAUUAAACCCAACCAUGCAUUCUCCACAACAACCCAACUAUACUUUACUUUUAAAAUAUAAACUAUAGAGAUAUGCCGUCGAUUUUUUAAAGGCUUGUAUUUUUAGUCCCAGGUAAAUUAAUGUUUUUUUAUGUAAUUUUAUUUUUUUAAUUUUAGUUUUUGUAAUUUGUGACUUUUUAUUUUUGAUUUUUUAAGAUAUUUUAUUUAUUUUUAAUUUUUGCAUGUUUAUAUUUUUUUUAAUUUUGAUCCCAUAAUAUUAUAACUUUUUUAUUUAUAGUCACCCUAAAUUCAUGUUUAUAGAGACUAAAAUUAGAAAAACAUAAAUUUAUAUUAACUAAAAAUGAACAAAAUACUUUAUAAAUAUUAAAAUUGAAAAAUAUAAACUUAUAAGGAUUAAAAUUAAAAAAUUUAGAGAAUACAAAAAUAAAAAUACACUAAUUUACAGAGAAAAAAUCAUAUUUAAAUCGUUUUUAAAUAUAAAAUCUCUAUCUAUUUUAUUGGAGAUCAUGGGCAUUUAUUUAGUCUCUAUCUAUUUUAUUAGUUAGGUGACUAGAGUGGACCCAAAAGAUAUCUAUGGAUUUGAAACAUAUACUGAACUAUUAAGUAAAAAGUAAAUCAUGAAAUAUUAUACACAUUAAAAAAUUAAAAAUUAAAAAAAUAGAGGACCAGAACCCCAACCAUCUAAGUAAAUUUGUCCACAAUAAUAAAUAUAUCAUUAUUUAAAGUCUUAAAGAAAGAAGACCCAAAUAAAUAUAAUGUAGAAGUAGAACACAUAAAUAACCCCAAAAAUCUGCUAGUUUUACUGUGGGUUGCGUUUCCUAUGGUACCGUGGGGGUAACACAAAAAGCGACUGUCUGCAACAAUAAUGAAUCUGCACAUGGAUAAGUGUCAGGUACAGCAGAAGACAUACACAACACAUAAAUAAUUUACUGAAUAUAAAUAAUUAAUAUGUUAAAGUUAAAUUAAAUUGUUUAAAUAUUAUUUGAAUUUUAUUUUUAAUAAAAGUAAUUUUUUAUUUAUUUAUUGUCUAAACUUUGAAUUAGUCUCUUUCCCUAUUGAACCCAAAAGUAAAAAAAAUAAAAAUGCACAGCAAGAACCAAAACAUGCGGAUAUUCACCAAUAAUGUGGCAAUUGAAUUGAAUCUCAGGGCCAGUAUGUUUCUUACAAACUACACAAAACGUUAAAAAGAUGGAGCCAUGCAUUUGACCCAUACGUACCCACCCCAAUCUAACAAUCCAAACCUAAUAACGAUGGUCAGCACCGCACCAGCUUCAUAGUAAAAUGAGUUACAAUUUUAUACUAUAUUUAAUAAAAAGUAAAUCAAAAUUUGAAAAUCAAAACUUUAAUAAUAUUAAGGUAUGUUUGGAUCAAUUUCUCCAUAAACGCUUCUGGAAGAUAAAUAAAAAAACAACUUUUUAUAAUUUAAAAUUAAUUUCUGUAUGGACCAAUUCUAGAAGUUGUAUCACAUAAGUUUUUUAAUAGAAGAUCUUUAAUUUAUGCAUAAACUAAUUGAUGAAGAAUUUUUUUUAUUUUUUUCUAAUUCUAGAAGUGUUUUCGAAUAUAUUUAUCUAAACAUACUUAUAUUAAUUAAAAAAUAGAAGUGGUCAUGAAAGUUACGGGUUAGAUAUAAUAUUAAUAAAAAAAAUAUAAUUUAUACAUCACAUGUGCUGAUUUUAAAAAGUUUUUUUCAAAUAAUUAAAAUCGUAGAUAACUAUUACGAUAUUUCAUUCUUUAAAAUAAAAUAUAAAAGUAAAGUUAUUUUAUUUUGUUUAAUUUUUUUACACUAUUUUUAUACUUAAAAUAACAAGUUGUACGUUAUUAUUCACACCUAUGACUCUACAUUUAAAAGUCCUGAAUGUGAGUUCUUAUGUUAAGAAUUUAUUCAACUUUUACACUAUCUCAAUAAUUUUGAAAUUAAUUAAUUACCACUUUGUGGUAAACAAAGCCGAGUUUCAUGAUUAGAAAGUAAAAGGUAAAAGUAAAACAAUUUCACGUUCAAAACAAAAAAAAAUGUAAAAAACAAAUUGUACAAAAAUUUCGUGUUUCGCGACUACCAAGGAAGAGUUAUCGCUGCUGCCUCUUGCUUUCAGCCACACAAAUUGCAGAGGGCAUGGCACACAAAUUGUCAAGUCCUUGUCUCGGCCUGGAACACGAGGGAAACGCAACAACACGGUACAUAUAUACUUGGAUUCAGGAGUGGGUUUUUUUCCCUCUUCAUUUUUUUUCAUUAUAUUAUAUAAAAUUUAUUUUAAUUGGUUUUAAAAUUACUUAUUUAUUAAAUUAAUUUUUUUAAUUUUGUUUUUAAUUAAUUUUUUUAAUAAGAAAAUUGUAUUAUUAAAAAUAAUUAUUUUUAUUUUAUUAUUUAAUUUACUUAACAUAUUUUUUUAGGUGAAUAUUUUUUUAACAAUCUGAAUUUUGUAAUAUAAUUAUAUUACUAAAUAUGAUUAGUUUGUUUAUGUCAUUAAAUUUAAUUAAAAAUGAUAAAACUUUUUGUUUAACAAUUUAUUUAUAAAAGAACUUUAUAUUGCAUUAUCAAUAAAAUACUUAAACAAUUAAGAAUGAUAAGACUUUCUGUUAUAAUCAUGUUGUCGGUAAAUUAAAUAUUUUUUUCUACUUUUCCUUAUUCGUCCAUCUCAUGGGAAUGCGAGUUGAAACGGGAUGACCCGUUGUAGUUUUCUUCAUCCUUGGAUUAGAACCUCACUGAACUCCUUCGUAUUCUUGCCACGUUGAUUCGUGUGGGAGUAAAUCAAAAGAGUUGUCAUAGACGUGCCAAAUGUGUUGUAGAGUGAAGACAUGUAUCCCCACAUUGAUCAUGCACAAUAGAAAUUGGUUAUCUUCAAUAAACUAGUCAUCGAAAUAGAAGAAGACCUGUNNNNNNNNNNNNNNNNNNNNNNNNNNNNNNNNNNNNNNNNNNNNNNNNNNNNNNNNNNNNNNNNNNNNNNNNNNNNNNNNNNNNNNNNNNNNNNNNNNNNNNNNNNNNNNNNNNNNNNNNNNNNNNNNNNNNNNNNNNNNNNNNNNNNNNNNNNNNNNNNNNNNNNNNNNNNNNNNNNNNNNNNNNNNNNNNNNNNNNNNNNNNNNNNNNNNNNNNNNNNNNNNNNNNNNNNNNNNNNNNNNNNNNNNNNNNNNNNNNNNNNNNNNNNNNNNNNNNNNNNNNNNNNNNNNNNNNNNNNNNNNNNNNNNNNNNNNNNNNNNNNNNNNNNNNNNNNNNNNNNNNNNNNNNNNNNNNNNNNNNNNNNNUAAAAAAUAUAUGAUAUAAUAUUAUAUUUAUAAUAUUUAAACUAUAAAAAAAUACCAAAGUAUGGAAGUCGGGAUGAUCAAACCCAAUUUCCAACAAGCAUUCCAAAAAUAGUGCCCUACAUGAAUAAAAGAAGAAAGUGAUGUAGAUUGGGAAAAAAAGUGGAAAGAGAAAGUGCAUUGACGAAAAAAAACCAAAUGUAAAGAAUUACUACCUAACAACAUUGUCAACCAACAUGGUUUGGUUAUGAUUAGCAUAUAUAUUCCUGUCUUUAAAAUAUGUUGUUGAUACUCAUGUUCGUGUAAAUGAAAAGUAUUUGUAGAAAAAAUAAAACUCUUAAAUGGGUCUUAUCCGGUCAAAGGACACCCUCAUGAGCUCACCAAUUAAUGUAAUCAAGCAAAUAAAUUACCAUUAACGUAAGCUUACAAGUCGUAAGCUCAGUGUUAUUAUCUACAAAUUUAAAAAGUCAAUUAUAUCACGUGGACCAUAAAAAAAAAGGUUGCCGAGCUUAAUUUCCUGUAUCUAGCUAGCUAGCUAGCUAGAGGAAUGGUCUAUUUAAAGAAGAAAAUUAAGCCUACACCAGGAAGCUGGAAAAGUUAGAAGUAGUGAAGAAAAUGAAAGUCAUUGUUUUCUUCGUUGCUAUAAUAAUUUUAGGUGCAGAAUGGCAAUGCAAUGGGUCAGAGCAUGAGCAUGAGCAUGGCCACAGCUACCAAAUUUUCCCUUUGCGAAUGAAAACCGGCCCCGGUGGCCACUACAUUCCGGAGGUAUCGUGCAAAAGUUGGAGGCUUGGUGUGGAAGCACACAACGUCAUUGACUGGAGAACCAUUCCUCAAGAUUGCGAGGGAUAUAUAGGAAACUACAUGCUUGGCCACCAAUAUAGAUCAGACUCC
rnacentral:lncRNA from 1 species